GCCCGUUCCUCUCCCCGCCGCCGCACACGACGACAUCUCCUCUCCUCCCUUCCCUGCACACCGCUAUCGCCGCCUAUGCCUCUGCGCCCUUGUCCGUCUUGUGGCAGACCCCCACCACCGCUGACUGGAUCCCCGUCGCGCCCCAAUCGACGGCGCCGCGGCCGUAUUCUCGACAAUGAGCCUGGAUCCCGCCACAUCCAGGCCAUCCACCGUCCCAUCGUCAAUGCCUUCCCUCACCAAGCGCUUCCCCAUCUCUCCUCUGCAUUCUUGGUGGCGAAAGCCGGCCCCUCGGACUUUGGUUCUGGCUCUCUUCGAACGGAUCGGAUACAUGUGCGAUGAUUCCUGCGUGAGCGAUCUUAAACUAUGUUGCCUUUUUGAAAUGGAAUCCAGCAACUAGACGGCAGGAAUCAAGCAGCAGCUCACCUCCAUAGCCUACAGUGGCGGCAAGGUUUGCUGAUCCACUAAUAGACGGUCAAUACGCACAGAUAAUGCAAGACCUUGUGAAAGAGAGGUUGCCCAGGUUCACUCCUGAUCAAGCUAAAGUGGUCAAGGGCUCACCAGACUAUACCGGAGUCAAUCAAUAUAGAACUAACUUCACAAAGGAGCCGAAAUUGAUGCAGCAGGCGCUGACUAGCUACUCAGUCGAUUUGCGGGUUAUGUGAGUUUCCUGUCUUAAGCCGCAGGUUUUACAUCUAUAUAUAUAGCCAAAACUUUGCAGUUGAGCGAAAUGGCAAACCGAUUGGACCAAGGGUAUGAAGCUCUUAGCUGAAACCUUUCUCAACUUUACUUUCUCCGAGCAUAAGUUCAAAAUUAACAUGAAAACGGUACUGGAGCUCCAUAUCUCUUUGUUCUGUCUCAUGCCUCUAAAUCAUCUUGUCAUGCGUAUAUACUAAUGUCGUUGUCAUGUUGCCAGGAAUGGAACAACCAGGGAACCACAACUCAAUAGAGGAGGUGAGGCGAUUGGCAUGACAUGCGACCAGAUGGCCCUGCAACUUGGCCAAGCUGAUCUAGUGGCAGUUUACUGGGCCUCGGAGGGAAGCUGUCGGAGGCCGCCACUCCUCGUUGCUGAAGUCAAACACCAUUAUGUCGCGUGCGUACACCUCCUUGAACUUGGCACUGGCAUAAAGGGCCAGAAAGUUGGCGACCCCAUUGAUUACAGCGACGCCGUCGCUGUUGGGCACCACCUUUAAAGAAGCGCUCCCCGUAUCCCUCCAGCCACUGUCACUGAGGCCAAGGGUGAGGAUCUUGCAGAUCUCUGGCUCGUGGUACCUACCCGAAGUGUUCUGGCAGAGUCUGACAAAGCGCUCCCCGUAUCUGUAUGUUCUGGCUAAUCUCGAUUUAAUCUAGGUCAUCUAUGGAAUGGAACUGAAAAUCCGGAGUCAUUUGAAAUAACAGUUGAGGAACAAAAGAAGAUACUACUUGACAGGUCAGUCAGGCUCAACUGCGUGGAGUUCCCUUUUUCCUUUUUCCUGUUGUUAAAACUGAUGUUGACUAUUUUAUGGUUUUUUCUUGGUCAGUUUUGUAUUUGUUCAGUAAAGGAUGGGUCACAUAUCUAGAGAUAAUGUUGUGGAGCAACUUCUACUUUGCCGAGCAUGUUACAGAAACAUUUUUCUUAGUUGAAUUUAAAAUCAUUUUUUUAAUUUCCAUUUGAAUUAGUUGUACAACUGACAACUUGACUUUGCUUAUCUGAAGCCCUGCUAUGCACUCCAUAAUUAAUGGGUGUAUUAUCUAGAGGGCCAAUGGUCCUUUUUUUGCAAAUGGCACUUCUUUUGAAGUUUCCUCCAAUCAUCACACAUGUUCUGGUUGAUGCGCUCAUAUAUUUGCACAAAUUUGAACAUGUAUACAUCUAUUUCAUUUUUAAGUGAACCAUAUUUCUUUC